rnacentral:rRNA from 1 species
UACGGAGGAUGCGAGCGUUAUCCGGAUUUAUCGGGUUUAAAGGGUGCGCAGGCGGAUUUUUAAGUCAGCGGUCAAAUCGUGGGGCUCAACCCCAUCCAGCCGUUGAAACUGGGGAUCUAGAGUGUGCGAGAGGUAUGCGGAAUGCGUGGUGUAGCGGUGAAAUGCAUAGAUAUCACGCAGAACCCCGAUUGCGAAGGCAGCAUACCGGUGCACAACUGACGCUCAGGCACGAAAGCGUGGGUAUCGAACAGG